rnacentral:rRNA from 1 species
CCCCGUACGGUUGAAUGCCUAGCCUUUGUAAAACUCCUUCGACGAGUCGAGUAGUUUGGGAAUGCUGCUCUAAAUGGGAGGUAAAUUUCUUCUAAAGCUAAAUACCGGCCAGAGACCGAUAGCGCACAAGUAGAGUGAUCGAAAGAUGAAAAGCACUUUGAAAAGAGGGUUAAAUAGCACGUGAAAUUGUUGAAAGGGAAGGAUUUAUGACCAGACUUUUCCUAGGCGAAUCAUCCGGUGUUCUCACCGGUGCACUUCGUUUAGUUUAGGCCAGCAUCGAUUUUCGGGGCGGGAUAAAAGCUUCAGGAAUGUGGCUCCCUCGGGAGUGUUAUAGCCUGUUGUAUAAUACCGCCCUGGGGAUCGAGGUACGCGCUUCUGCAAGGAUGCUGGCGUAAUGGUUAUCAAUCACCCGUCUUGAAACACGGACCAAGGAGUCGAACAUUUGUGCGAGUGUUUGGGUGUUAAACCCUCACGCGUAAUGAAAGUGAACGGAGGUGAGAGCCCUUUACGGGGUGCAUCAUCGACCGAUCCUGAUGUCUUCGGAUGGAUUUGAGUAAGAGCAUAAAUGUUCGGACCCGAAAGAUGGUGAACUAUGCGUGGAUAGGGUGAAGCCAGAGGAAACUCUGGUGGAGGCUCGCAGCGGUUCUGACGUGCAAAUCGAUCGUCAAAUCUGCGCA